AGUGAACGCUGGCGGUAUGCCUAAUACAUGCAAGUCGAACGGCAGCACAAUAAGAUCUUGCCCUUACUGUUGGCGAGGGGCGGGUGGGUGAGGCGUGCAUCGGCUUCUUCUUUUUCUUGGGUGAUAACGUAGGGAAGCUUAUGCUAAUGGCGCAUACUUCGUACGGCUGAAAGCAAAAGAGCUUCAGGCUUUUCGUGUCUGAAUUAGCCGAUGUCGGAUUAGGUAGGUGGCUGGGUAAAGGACCAACAAGGCAAAGAUGCGUAGCUGGUCUGAGAGGAUGAUCAGCCACACUGGAACUGAGACACGGUCCAGACUCCUAAGGGAGGCAGGAGUGGGGAAUAUUGGAGAAUGGGCGCAAGCCUGGUCCAGCCAUCGCGGGUGGGUGAAGAAGGCCUUCGGGUUGUAAAGCUCUUUUAUUGGGAAAGAACAUAAGUAUGUUAAUACCCGGCUGUCCUGACGGUACCCAAAGAAUAAGCACCGGCUAACUACGUG
rnacentral:rRNA from 1 species